rnacentral:rRNA from 1 species
CCGAUCCCCGACCGGCUGCCUCCGGCCUUCUGCCGCGGCCACACGCGGGGUGAGUCCCUUUCCCCCGCCUCUGGCGCGUCGCGGAUCUGUGGGGUCGGUUGGCGAAGGUCUUUUUAUUCUGUGGAAACCUGUUCGCAGGGGGGCGCAGGCCCGGGACUUGCCACGGACGCCGCGCGUCUCCUCUUCCCGUGCUCCUCAUCGGGCCGAGAGGGGCUGGCGUGCUCGCAGUCGGCAAGUACCAGGAGCAGGCAUGUUGGGACCCGAAAGAUGGUGAACUAUGCCUGGCCAGGAUGAAGCCAGAGGAAACUCUGGUGGAGGUCCGUAGCGAUUCUGACGUGCAAAUCGAUCGUCUGAGCUGGGUAUAGGGGCGAAAGACUAAUCGAACCAUCUAGUAGCUGGUUCCCUCCGAAGUUUCCCUCAGGAUAGCUGGAACUCGCCACCAGAUGAAUUUCAUCCGGUAAAGCGAAUGAUUAGAGGUCUUGGGGACGAAACGUCCUCAACCUAUUCUCAAACUUUAAAUGGGUGAGAUGCCGAGCUUGCUUAAAAGAUGAAGCUUCGGCGACGAAUCGGAGUUCCUAGUGGGCCACUUUU